rnacentral:rRNA from 1 species
GAUGAACGCUAGCUACAGGCUUAACACAUGCAAGUCGCAGGACUGGCGCACGGGUGAGUAACGCGUAUCCAACCUUCCCAUGACAACGGGAUAACCCGUUGAAAGACGGACUAAUACCGUAUGGGGAUGGAUGGGGAGGCGUUUUAUUAGCUUGUUGGCGGGGGAACGGCCCACCAAGGAGACGAUCAGUAGGGGUUAUGAGAGGAAGGUACCCCACAGUGGAACUGCGACACGGUCCAAACUCGUAGGGGAGGCAGGAGUGAGGAAGAUUGGUCACGGGGCGAGAGUCUGACCCAGCCAAGUAUCGUGUAGGACGACGGCCUAUGGGUUGUAAACUGCUUUGAUGCGGGGAUAGGUACCGCAUGAAUAAGGACCGGCUAAUUCCGUGCCAGCAGCCGCGGUAAUAC